UAGUCUAUAGGAGACAGAUCUCAGUGAG
rnacentral:piRNA from 1 species